rnacentral:rRNA from 1 species
UACGAAGGGGGCUAGCGUUGCUCGGAAUCACUGGGCGUAAAGGGUGCGUAGGCGGGUCUUUAAGUCAGGGGUGAAAUCCUGGAGCUCAACUCCAGAACUGCCUUUGAUACUGAGGAUCUUGAGUCCGGGAGAGGUGAGUGGAACUGCGAGUGUAGAGGUGAAAUUCGUAGAUAUUCGCAAGAACACCAGUGGCGAAGGCGGCUCACUGGCCCGGUACUGACGCUGAGGCACGAAAGCGUGGGGAGCAAACAAG